rnacentral:rRNA from 1 species
CUUAACACAUGCAAGUCGAACGAGAAACUCCGAGCUUGCUCGAGGGAGUAAAGUGGCGCACGGGUGAGUAACACGUGGGUAACCUACCCCCGAAUCCGGGAUAACCUCGCGAAAGCGUUGCUAAUACCGGAUAUUGUCCUAUCGGUUGUGACCUUUGGGAUGAAAGGCAACCUCUUCAUGAAAGUUGUCGUUCAGGGAUGGGCCCGCGUACCAUUAGCUUGUUGGUGGGGUAACGGCCCACCAAGGCUGCGAUGGUUAGCUGGUCUGAGAGGAUGAUCAGCCACACUGGAACUGAAACACGGUCCAGACUCCUACGGGAGGCAGCAGUGAGGAAUUUUGCGCAAUGGGGGAAACCCUGACGCAGCAACGCCGCGUGAGUGAAGAAGGCUUUCGGGUCGUAAAGCUCUGUCAAGUGGGAAAAAAGUCUGAUGAUUAAUAGUUGUCAGAUCUGAUGGUACCACUGGAGGAAGCACCGGCUAACUCCGUGCUAGCAGCCGCGGUAAUACGGAGG